UACGUAGGCAGCAAGCGUUGUUCGGAAUUACUGGGCGUAAAGAGUGUGUAGGCGGUGCUGCAAGUCUGGUGUGAAAUCUCCCGGCUUAACUGGGAGGGUGCAUUAGAAACUGGAAUGCUAGAGGAUGGGAGAGGUAAGCGGAAUUCCCGGUGUAGCGGUGAAAUGCGUAGAUAUCAGGAGGAACACCUGUGGUGUAGACAGCUUACUGGACCAUUUCUGACGCUGAGACACGAAAGCGUGGGUAGCAAACAGG
rnacentral:rRNA from 1 species